rnacentral:rRNA from 1 species
GAUGAACGCUGGCGGCGUGCCUAAUACAUGCAAGUCGAGCGAACAGAUGAGGAGCUUGCUCCUCUGACGUUAGCGGCGGACGGGUGAGUAACACGUGGAUAACCUACCUAUAAGACUUGGAUAACUUCGGGAAACCGGAGCUAAUACCGGAUAAUAUAUUGAACCGCAUGGUUCAAUAGUGAAAGACGGUUUUGCUGUCACUUAUAGAUGGAUCCGCGCCGCAUUAGCUAGUUGGUAAGGUAACGGCUUACCAAGGCAACGAUGAGUAGCCGACCUGAGAGGGUGAUCGGCCACACUGGAACUGAGACACGGUCCAGACUCCUACGGGAGGCAGCAGUAGGGAAUCUUGCGCAAUGGGCGAAAGCCUGAUGGAGCAACGCCGCGUGAGUGAAGAAGGUCUUCGGAUUGUAAAACUCUGUUAUUAGGGAAGAACAAAUGUGUAAGUAACUAUGCACGUCUUGACGGUACCUAAUCAGAAAGCAACGGCUAACUACGUG